GCUAGCUUCAAGUUCCGCAAAACAUUAUUGAGGUGGACUGUUCCUAGCUCAGUGGAACUUCCUCCCCAAGAAAGGUAGACUGUCAGUGAGGGUUGUUAAGGCCCAUGAAUCAAGACGACGAGCUCUGACGACUCCCCAUUCGGAUCAAGAGGGAAGUGUGAAAAGUCGAAGAGAUCCUUGCUGAUGGACAGGUGGGGAUCAAGACCAGCCCAGCUGAGAGAAGUUGCGUUUCCCGGCUUCAUCAAAAAGAUUUUCAUGGAGGGAUAUAAAACUAGAUUGAGAGGCCCUUAGAGCCUGUUUGGUUACUGGCAAAAGCUAGCUGGGUUCCCUGGACUAGGUGGGUCAGGUUUACUGGGGGUUGUUAAUUGGGAAAAAGACAUUUUCAGGCGUUGCCCAUCAUUUAGGGUAGGUCUGCGAUAUGGAGCGGGUGCUGUUGUGCGCCCUAGUCCCGUUGUUGGCUUUAGGGUGGGUGCCUGUGACGGCUGAGGGCGAGUUGUGCCGCGUCUGGAGAUACGGGACGGAGUCCUCGGUGGGGGCUUUCCAGUGCCCGGAGCGGCGCGACGGCGCGGACGCCGAGUUCUGUUGUGGGUCUUGCAGCCUGCCCUUCUGUUGCUCGUCGGCAGAGGCCCGCCUAGACCAGGGGCUGUGCCACACCCGAGGACAGCUGGAGGCGAUCUUUAUGGACGACCGCAGGGAAGGGACCACCGAGCCUCCGACUGAUGAUAAUCAACGUGCGAUAAUCCCCUCCGUCGUUUCGAUCACUGUAAAAAUGUAAAUGUACUGCCUUCGACUCCGACUUAUGGCAACCCUAUGAAUAGGAUUUUCAUGAGGCUGAGAGGCAGUGACUAGCCCAAGGUCACCCACUGCGCUUCAUGGCUAUGCGAGGAUUUGAACCCUGGUCUCCCAGGUCAUAGUCCAACACCUUAACUACUACACCACACUGUUCACCAGAGCUAUGUCUGGUUAAUCACUGCAGGAGUAGCUACUAUAUUUGUUUGCACUUGUGUGUCCUACAUCGCAGCCGGUUUCUGGAACUGGAUAAUGGAGCACAGGUUGCUGAGAGCCCACAGUGAGGAACUGCAGGUGGAGCAUGUUCUUCUUCCUCCAGGGCUUGUGGUCAGUGGUGGUUCUUAUUUGUAUGAUGCCGGCAUAGACACAGAUCCACCAUCUCUAGAUACUGAGGACCCUCAAGGUACCAAUGACUUGCCCUCUGCCUUGGACAACCCACCUACACUGCAGUUCAGUCAUUCAAGCUGUGGAAUCUCUGAGGGUGAGGAGAUCAUUUUGUCUCCACUACAUUAUCCAGCUCAUGUGCCACAUCCUGCCCUAGAGCCAACCAUGGAAACAGAAUCGUCAUUCUAGCCAAGGAUUUGGUAGGGGCCCAACCUGUAAAGCUCUGAAAGUCACUGAAAAGGCAAAACAUGGAGGAUGCACCUAAACACCGCAAACAUUGUCAGUGAAAGCAAGACGAAGUAUUUUUUAAACUUCACGUGAAAUACUUGGGUGGACAGCUCCUGGGGGAAUGUACAAUUCCUGGAAAUGUACUUUGGGCCAUCUUACCAAUGAAUAAUUCUCUUUGGGUUUUCUGACUUGUGGUUUCUCUACCUGUUGACAGGACCCAGGAAAAUGUCUCUUACGCUGCCUAGAAAAGCAUAGGGGUUAUGCUGCCUAGCACCCCAAGGUUUUAAAACUUUAAUAUUGUGUGAACACUUCUUUGUAUUAACCUUGAAGAAACUAAGCAGGAGUGUGCCUUUUGAGAGUGAAGUGCUUCUGGGAUGCAAUAAGCUGUUUUUAGCCUGGACAUUUACCAACUUAAUGGUUUUUUAAUUGUACGUCCGUAAUCAUCAAUAAAAGUCAUGUGUAGCAUUUUUUUAA